UCCAAUCACACAUAAAAGAAACUUGUCCAUAGCUCAUUAUUCCAAACCAAAUGUACAUACAAUUCUACCUCUACAUCACAUAGCAACUCAAUAUCAUACAUUUCCAGAAAUCAAUAUCCAUACUAAAACAACUUUUACAAACUACCAUACGCCACAAAUAAAACUUGUGCCCUAUGGCACUACAGACUGGGCUCCGUUACCAGCAGCUUGGAUCCCGGCUCCGUUCCUACUCCAUCUGUUAAUGAUGAGAAGUGAGUUCACAUAACUCAAUACGAUAAAAAAUCAAGUUGCAGGUGUAGUAUGCAGUGACAAGAAAUUCAGAAAUGUCUAUAUGCAAUUAUCCUACCUAACCCAAAACAAACUAUAGAACUCCCCUACGACUAGCCAUCAAGAUCCUACCCCAAAAGAAAAGUUUUGGCUAUCAAUAGCCCACACACAACAACAAUCCAACACCUCACAUCAUCAACAUCGGCUACCCACACUCACCAUGCUACUUCACAACCUUACUAAGUCACCCACACACAAGUACCAUUAGCUCACGUCACCAACAUCGGCGACUCAUACUCUCUCCUCCACCUCUCGAUCUCACGAGGCCACGCACACACACAAGUAUCAUCAUUUCACGUCACCAACAUCGGCGACUCACACCCUCUCCUCCAUCUCUCGACCUCAUUAGGCCACGCACACACACAAGUACCAUCAUUUCACGUCACCAACAUCGGCGACUCAUAUUCUCUCCUCCACCUCUCGACCUAAUAAGGCCACGCACACACACAAGUACCAUCAUCUCACGUCACCAACAUCGACGACUCAUACUCUCUCCUCUACCUCUCGACCUCAUUAGGCCACGCACACACACAAGUACCAUCAUCUCACGUUACCAACAUCG
rnacentral:lncRNA from 1 species